GAUGAACGCUGGCGGCGUGCCUAAUACAUGCAAGUCGAGCGAAUGGAUUAAGAGCUUGCUCUUAUGAAGUUAGCGGCGGACGGGUGAGUAACACGUGGGUAACCUGCCCAUAAGACUGGGAUAACUCCGGGAAACCGGGGCUAAUACCGGAUAAUAUUUUGAACUGCAUGGUUCAAAAUUGAAAGGCGGCUUCGGCUGUCACUUAUGGAUGGACCCGCGUCGCAUUAGCUAGUUGGUGAGGUAACGGCUCACCAAGGCAACGAUGCGUAGCCGACCUGAGAGGGUGAUCGGCCACACUGGGGCUAGGACACGGCCCAGAGUCCUACGGGGGGCAGCAGUAGGGAAUCUUCCGAAAUGGACGAAAGUCUGACGGAGCAACGCCGCGUGAGUGAUGAAGGCUUUCGGGUCGUAAAACUCUGUUGUUAGGGAAGAACAAGUGCUAGUUGAAUAAGCUGGCACCUUGACGGUACCUAACCAGAAAGCCACGGCUAACUACGUGCCAGCAGCCGCAGUAA
rnacentral:rRNA from 1 species